rnacentral:rRNA from 1 species
UACGUAGGGAGCAAGCGUUGUCCGGAAUCAUUGGGCGUAAAGCGCGCGUAGGCGGCCUCAUAAGUCCGUUGUGAAAGUCAAAGGCUCAACCUUUGAAAGCCGAUGGAUACUGUGAGGCUAGAGUCCGGAAGAGGCGAGUGGAAUUCCUGGUGUAGCGGUGGAAUGCGCAGAUAUCAGGAGGAACACCAAUAGCGAAGGCGGCUCACUGGCCCGAUACUGACGCUGAGGCGCGAAAGCGUGGGGAGCAAACAGG